CCUACGGGUGGCAGCAGUGGGGAAUAUUGGUCAAUGGGCGCAAGCCUGACCCAGCAACGCCGCGUGAAGGAAGAAGGCUUUCGGGUUGUAAACUUCUUUUGUCAGGGAAGAGUAGAAGACGGUACCUGACGAAUAAGCCACGGCUAACUACAUGCCAGCAGCCGCGUUAAUACGUAGGUGGCAAGCGUUGUCCGGAUUUACUGGGUGUAAAGGGCGUGUAGCCGGGUUGACAAGUCAGAUGUGAAAUCCUGCGGCUUAACCGCAGAAGUGCAGUUGAAACUGUUGUUCUUGAGUACUGGAGAGGCAGAUGGAAUGCGUGGGGUAGCGGUGAAAUGCGUAGAUAUUAGGAGGAACACCAGUGGCGAAGGCGGUCUGCUGGACAGCAACUGACGGUGAGGCGCGAAAGCGUGGGGAGCAAACAGGAUUAGAUACCCUAGUAGUC
rnacentral:rRNA from 1 species